CUCGUAGGUGGCCAACUAAGUCAGACGUGAAAUCCCUCGGCUUAACCGGGGAACUGCGUCUGAUACUGGAUGGCUUGAGUUUGGGAGAGGGACGCGGAAUUCCAGGUGUAGCGGUGAAAUGCGUAGAUAUCUGGAGGAACACCGGUGGCGAAGGCGGCGUCCUGGACCAACACUGACACUGAGGAGCGAAAGCCAAGGGGAGCAAACGG
rnacentral:rRNA from 1 species